rnacentral:rRNA from 1 species
AACGAACGCUGGCGGCAGGCUUAACACAUGCAAGUCGAACGCCCCGCAAGGGGAGUGGCAGACGGGUGAGUAACGCGUGGGAACGUGCCCUUCGCUUCGGAAUAGCCCCGGGAAACUGGGAGUAAUACCGGAUACGCCGUAUUGGGAAAGAUUUAUCGGCGAAGGAUCGGCCCGCGUUGGAUUGGCUAGUUGGAGGUGUAAUGGACCCCCAAGGCUACGAUCCAUAGCUGGUCUGAGAGGAUGAUCAGCCACACUGGGACUGAGAAACGGCCCAGACUCCUACGGGAGGCAGCAGUGGGGAAUCUUGGACAAUGGGCGCAAGCCUGAUCCAGCCAUGCCGCGUGAGUGAAGAAGGCCUUAGGGUUGUAAAACUCUUUCGCCGGAGAAGAUAAUGACGGUAUCCGGAGAAGAAGCCCCGGCUAACUUCGUGCCAGCCGCCGCCGUAAGAC